CACCGGCGGCCCGAGUGGUGACCACUUUUAUUGGGUCUAAAGCGUCCGUAGCCGGCUUGGCAAGUCCCCUGGGAAAUCUGGCGGCUUAACCGUCAGGCGUCCAGAGGAUACUGCCAGGCUUGGGACCGGGAGAGGUGAGAGGUACCUCAGGGGUAGGGGUGAAAUCUUGUGAUCCCUGAGGGACCACCAGUGGCGAAGGCGUCUCACUAGAACGGGUCCGACGGUCAGGGACGAAAGCUGGGGGCACGAACCGG
rnacentral:rRNA from 1 species